UCCAGGUUGGUCCAGGUGUCUAUAGGUCCUGAUAUAAUGCUGUGUUCUCUCCAGGUUGGUACAGGUGUCUAUAGGUCCUGAUAUAAUGCUGUGUUCUCUCCAGGUUGGUCCAGGUGUCUAUAGGUCCUGAUAUAAUGUUGUGUUCUCUCCAGGUUGGUCCAGGUGUCUAUAGGUCCUGAUAUAAUGCUGUGUUCUCUCCAGGUUGGUCCAGGUGUCUAUAGGUCCUGAUAUAAUGCUGUGUUCUCUCCAGGUUGGUCCAGGUGUCUAUAGGUCCUGAUAUAAUGCUGUGUUCUCUCCAGGUUGGUUCAGGUGUCUAUAGGUCCUGAUAUAAUGCUGUGUUCUCUCCAGGUUGGUCCAGGUGUCUAUAGGUCCUGAUAUAAUGCUGUGUUCUCUCCAGGUUGGUCCAGGUGUCUAUAGGUCCUGAUAUAAUACUGUGUUCUCUCCAGGUUGGUCCAGGUGUCUAUAGGUCCUGAUAUAAUACUGUGUUCUCUCCAGGUUGGUCCAGGUGUCUAUAGGUCCUGAUAUAAUGUUGUGUUCUCUCCAGGUUGGUCCAGGUGUCUAUAGGUCCUGAUAUAAUGCUGUGUUCUCUCCAGGUUGGUCCAGGUGUCUAUAGGUCCUGAUAUAAUGUUGUGUUCUCUCCAGGUUGGUCCAGGUGUCUAUAGGUCCUGAUAUAAUGCUGUGUUCUCUCCAG
rnacentral:lncRNA from 1 species